AUUGAACGCUGGCGGCAGGCCUAACACAUGCAAGUCGAGCGGAGCGGCGGACGGGCGAGUAAUGCAUAGGAAUCUGCCUGGUAGCGGGGGAUAACGUACGGAAACGGGCGCUAAUACCGCAUACUAUCAGAUGAGCCUAGGUCGGAUUAGCUAGUUGGUGGGGUAAAGGCCUACCAAGGCGACGAUCCGUAACUGGUCUGAGAGGAGGAUGAGUCACAUGGGAACGGAGACACGGUCCAGACUCCUACGGGAGGCAGCAGUGGGGAAUAUUGGACAAUGGGCGAAAGCCUGAUCCAGCCAUGCGGGGGGUGUGAAGAAGGUCUUCGGAUUUGAAAGCACUUUAAGUUGGGAGGCGUUACCAACAGAAUAAGCACCGGCUAACUUCGUGCCAGCAGCCGCGGUAAUUC
rnacentral:rRNA from 1 species